rnacentral:rRNA from 1 species
GACGAACGCUGGCGGCGUGCUUAACACAUGCAAGUCGAACGGUAAGGCCCUUCGGGGUACACGAGUGGCGAACGGGUGAGUAACACGUGGGUGAUCUGCCCUGCACUUCGGGAUAAGCCUGGGAAACUGGGUCUAAUACCGGAUAGGACCACUGCCUGCAUGGGUGGUGGUGGAAAGCUUUUGCGGUGUGGGAUGGGCCCGCGGCCUUUCAGCAUGUUGGUGGGGUGAUGGCCUACCAAGGCGACGACGGGUAGCCGGCCUGAGAGGGUGACCGGCCACACUGGGACUGAGAUACGGCCCCGACUCCUACGGGAGGCAGCAGUGGGGAAGAUUGCACAAUGGGCGCAAGCCUGAUGCAGCGACGCCGCGUGAGGGAUGACGGCCUUCGGGUUGUAAACCUCUUUCAGCACCGACGAAGCGCAAGUGACGGUAGGUGCAGAAGAAGGACCGGCCAACUACGUGCCAGCAGCCGCAGUAA